rnacentral:rRNA from 1 species
CCUUACCUGGCCUUGACAUACUAAGAACUUUCCAGAGAUGGAUUGGUGCCUUCGGGAACUUAGAUACAGGUGCUGCAUGGCUGUCGUCAGCUCGUGUCGUGAGAUGUUGGGUUAAGUCCCGCAACGAGCGCAACCCUUUUCCUUAUUUGCCAGCGGGUAAUGCCGGGAACUUUAAGGAUACUGCCAGUGACAAACUGGAGGAAGGCGGGGACGACGUCAAGUCAUCAUGGCCCUUACGGCCAGGGCUACACACGUGCUACAAUGGUCGGUACAAAGGGUUGCUACCUCGCGAGAGGAUGCUAAUCUCAAAAAGCCGGUCGUAGUCCGGAUCGCAGUCUGCAACUCGACUGCGUGAAGUCGGAAUCGCUAGUAAUCGCGGAUCAGAAUGCCGCGGUGAAUACGUUCCCGGGCCUUGUACACACCGCCCGUCACACCAUGGGAGUUUGUUGCACCAGAAGUAGGUAGUCUAACCGCAAGGAGGACGCUUACCACGGUGUGGCCGAUGACUGGGGUGAAGUCGUAACAAGGUAAGCGUAGAUGA